UAGCGUGGGCUCCCAGUGCUCAGGGCCUUCACAGUCUCCACGAUCACGAUGGCCCUCUGGUGUCCCAUCUUUCUCUCUCAAACUGUCCUUUUCUCAAUCCUUUGACUCCGCCGGACUUUGUCACCCCCACAACCUGGGUUUGGGUCUGGCCACCCCAACAUUAAGAAGAUCUCAGAUCCACUAAAAUGUCAACAUUGAAAACAAGAUAAAGAGGAGAAAGAGGAGGAAAAAAGAGGAGUGUAGAGGAGGGGGUACAGUGGCUCAUGCUUGUAAUCCCAGAGUUUUCGGAGGCCAAGACAGAACUGCUUGAGCUCAAGAGUUUGAAACCAGCCUGGGCAACAUAAUGAGAUCUCAUCUCUACAAAAAAUUAAAGUAUCAGCCAAGCAAGGUGGUUUACAUGACUGGCUACUCGGGAAGCUGAGAGGCAUUUUCCCAUCGCAAAUGGCAGCAUAAGCAUCUGAGAAUCUGAGCAGCCCUGGCAAGCACCUCACAGAAGCUGAAGAAACAAAAGUUGGAGUCCAGGACCUAUCAAUGUGGAGGCAUUCUAGCAAUGAACUCUAGAUUUAAGAUGGGUGUCCCAAACAAAUGAAAAGAAACUGUGAAUAAAACAUUCCUUCCAGAAAAUAAAAGCAGUCACUGAAUGACCUCAAUCA